GAUGAACGCUGGCGGCGUGCCUAAUACAUGCAAGUCGAGCGAACGGACGAGAAGCUUGCUUCUCUGAUGUUAGCGGCGGACGGGUGAGUAACACGUGGAUAACCUACCUAUAAGACUGGGAUAACUUCGGGAAACCGUAGCUAAUACCGGAUAAUAUUUUGAACCGCAUGGUUCAAAAGUGAAAGACGGUCUUGCUGUCACUUAUAGAUGGAUCCGCGCUGCAUUAGCUAGUUGGUAAGGUAACGGCUUACCAAGGCAACGAUGCAUAGCCGACCUGAGAGGGGGAUAGGCCACACUGGAACUGAGCCACGGACAAGACUCCUAAGGGAGGCAGCAGUAGGGAAUCUUACGCAAUGGGCGAAAGCCUGACGGAGCAACGCCGCGUGAGUGAUGAAGGUCUUCGGAUCGUAAAACUCUGUUAUUAGGGAAGAACAUAUGUGUAAGUAACUGUGCACAUCUUGACGGUACCUAAUCAGAAAGCCACGGCUAACUACGUG
rnacentral:rRNA from 1 species